rnacentral:rRNA from 1 species
GACGAACGCUGGCGGCGCGCCUAACACAUGCAAGUCGAACGGAGAUACCAGAAAGAUCCUUUCGGGGUGAAUUUUGACUAUCUUAGUGGCGGACGGGUGAGUAACACGUGAGCAACCUGCCUUACAGAGGGGGAUAACAUCUGGAAACGGAUGCUAAUACCGCAUAACAUUUUGAAACCGCAUGGUUUUGAGAUCAAAGAUUUUAUCGCUGUAAGAUGGGCUCGCGUCCGAUUAGCUAGUUGGUGAGGUAACGGCCCACCAAGGCGACGAUCGGUAGCCGGACUGAGAGGUUGAACGGCCACAUUGGGACUGAGAAACGGCCCAGACUCCUACGGGAGGCAGCAGUGGGGGAUAUUGCACAAUGGGGGAAACCCUGAUGCAGCGACGCCGCGUGAGUGAAGAAGUAUUUCGGUACGUAAAGCUCUAUCAGCAGGGAAGAAAAUGACGGUACCUGACUAAGAAGCCCCGGCUAACUACGUGCCAGCCGCCGCCGUAAUAC